rnacentral:rRNA from 1 species
AACGAACGCUGGCGGCAGGCUUAACACAUGCAAGUCGAACGGUUGUAGCAAUACAGCAGUGGCAGACGGGUGAGUAACACGUGGGAACCUUCCUAGGGGUACGGAACAACUCAGGGAAACUUGAGCUAAUACCGUAUACGUCCAUGAGGGGAAAGAUUUAUCGCCCUUAGACGGGCCCGCGUCGGAUUAGGUAGUUGGUGGGGUAACGGCCUACCAAGCCUACGAUCCGUAGCUGAUCUGAGAGGAUGAUCAGCCACACUGGGACUGAGACACGGCCCAGACUCCUACGGGAGGCAGCAGUGGGGAAUCUUGGACAAUGGGCGCAAGCCUGAUCCAGCCAUGCCGCGUGAGUGAAGAAGGCCUUAGGGUUGUAAAGCUCCUUUGCCAGGGACGAUAAUGACGGUACCUGGAGAAUAAGCCCCGGCAAACUUCGUGCCAGCCGCCGCCGUAA